CUACGGGAGGCUGCAGUGGGGAAUAUUGCACAAUGGAGGAAACUCUGAUGCAGCAACGCCGCGUGGAGGAUGACACUUUUCGGAGCGUAAACUCCUUUUAUAUAGGAAGAAGAUGACGGUACUAUAUGAAUAAGCGCCGGCUAACUCCGUGCCAGCAGCCGCGGUAAUACGGAGGGCGCAAGCGUUACUCGGAAUCACUGGGCGUAAAGAGCGUGUAGGCGGAUUAAAAGGUCAGAAGUGAAAUCCCAUAGCUUAACUAUAGAACUGCUUCUGAAACUCUUAAUCUAGAAUGUGGGAGAGGUAGAUGGAAUUUCUGGUGUAGGGGUAAAAUCCGUAGAGAUCAGAAGGAAUACCGAUUGCGAAGGCGAUCUACUAGAACAUUAUUGACGCUGAGACGCGAAAGCGUGGGGAGCAAACAGGAUUAGAUACCCUCGUAGUC
rnacentral:rRNA from 1 species